UGUAGUAUAUAUUCUACCUCGUUCCCCAGUUCGCUCCUCCAGUCGUUCUAAGACUAGGGUUUUGCUCUAAAUAGAGAGAGAACCGGAGGGUUCCUGGGAAAAACCAGAGUCGCCAUCCAAAUGCUAGUCCACCAGUUUCGGACGCUUCUUUGCUCGAGAGGAAGAUGCCCACCGACAGCAUGAUGUCCGGAGAAGGUCGGAGCUCCGGGGGGUCAACAGAGCAUGAGUAUGACGUGGUCUUGAUCUUCCUGUUCAGGGACGCUGUGGAGCUUCCGGACGCAGUCUCGAGGUCUGAGAUUUCGAUCUGCAUCCUAUCUGAGAUCUGUGCCGCUAGCAAAUGGUGCCUUUUCAGCUUCUUGAAAAGAUGGGAAUCAAAGGAAAUCGCUAAUGGGCACCAAGGAGAAUUUGUAGGAAUAGUUGCUGAAACGGUUCUGAGUGAGUUACGACAAGAUUUUCGGGCAGAUGUUCCUAAGACUGUGGUUGGAAUUGAUGAGAUUAUCGGAUUGCUGGACAGUAUCGAAGAAAUUGGGAUUUACGGCAUGGGUGGCAUUGGCAAGACUUUUUUCACCUGCGCAGAAUUUAUGUCUCGCAGUUUUCUUCCAGAUAUUCAAGAAAUAAUGAAACAUUCUUCUCGAUGAUGUUGAUAAUAAAUCGGGAAGUACUUUCAUUGUAACAUCCGGAUAUGAAGCUGUACUUAAUCAAGGUGGAAUUUGGAUUAGACUACAAGUAUGGACCUAGCUCUUGAGGUCAUAGGUUCAUAUUUGUAAAUAUAAUUCAAUAAGGAAAUAUGAGAAGAACUUAAAGUUAUCCAAAAGAUUUUGAAGAUAAGUUACGAUGCAUUAGAACAUAGAUAUUAGCAUAUAUUUUUUAAUAUUGGCUUGUUGUUUAAUAGUCAUGGAUAGCAAAUUUGUCGGAGUAUAGUGGCGUUCAUCUAACUUUGUAAUUGAAGAACUAAAGCUUAGAUGAUAUGUUAUAGUGAGCAAAGGAUAUGAUCAAUUAAGAGAUCUUAAUUUGUGUGUCUAGAAGGGUUAUGGUGGUGGGUGAAGGAUAUGGUCAAUUAAAAAAUCUUGGUAAGGAGGGAGGUCUGGCUAACAUAUGGUGGUGAGUAAAUGGUACCGUCGAUUAAGAGAUCUUUGUUGCGUUCCUAGAAGGAUGAUGAGGAGAACUGGUCUAUGGAUCUUUGAGGAAGGCUUGAAAGUACUUGAAGCAAAUAAGGCUUCUGAAAAGGUUCAAGCCAUUUGUUUUGAGAGAGAUGGCACAGAUGAAAUAGUUGACCAAGGUUGUUGAAUAUACUGUAAAGUAAGAGGUGAAAAUUUUGCUGGAGAUUGUAGGGAAUUUUUAUCUGAAUUAAGAUGGCUUCUGUGGGAGAGUUGUCCUCAAUCUUUUUGGUAGCAAACAAUAUUUGUCUAGGAAAUUAAUUGUACUUAGAUUUGUCAUGGAACACUACUUUAAAGCACUGCAGAGGACGGGGUUCGGUUAUGGUAAGAUGGAAAAGCAUAUCCUCUUCUCUGUAUUUCGAAGUCCACUUGUUUUCAACUCGAACCCCGAAAUC